rnacentral:rRNA from 1 species
CGAUCCAGCAAUACCGCGUGUGUGAAGAAGGCCUGCGGGUUGUAAAGCACUUUCAAUUGGGAAGAAAAGCUUAGGGUUAAUAACUCUGAGUCUUGACGUUACCUUUAGAAGAAGCACCGGCUAACUCCGUGCCAGCAGCCGCGGUAAUACGGAGGGUGCAAGCGUUAAUCGGAAUUACUGGGCGUAAAGCGCGCGUAGGUGGUUUAGUAAGUCAGAUGUGAAAGCCCUGGGCUCAACCUGGGAAUUGCAUUUGAAACUGCUUGACUAGAGUAUGGUAGAGGGAAGCGGAAUUCCGGGUGUAGCGGUGAAAUGCGUAGAUAUCCGGAGGAACAUCAGUGGCGAAGGCGGCUUCCUGGACUAAUACUGACACUGAGGUGCGAAAGCGUGGGUAGCAAACAGGAUUAGAUACCCUGGUAGUCCACGCCGUAAACGAUGUCAACUAGCCGUUGGACUCAUUAUAAGGGUUUAGUGGCGAAGCUAACGCGAUAAGUUGACCGCCUGGGGAGUACGGCCGCAAGGUUA